rnacentral:rRNA from 1 species
GACGAACGCUGGCGGCGUGCCUAAUACAUGCAAGUCGAGCGGACUAAUGGGAGCUUGCUCCCGUUAGUUAGCGGCGGACGGGUGAGUAACGCGUGGGCAACCUACCUGUAAGACUGGGAUAACUUCGGGAAACCGGAGCUAAUACCGGAUGACAUAAAGGAACUCCUGUUCCUUUAUUGAAAGAUGGCUUCGGAUAUCACUUACAGAUGGGCCCGCGGCGCAUUAGCUAGUUGGUGAGGUAACGGCUCACCAAGGCGACGAUGCGUAGCCGACCUGAGUGGGUGAUCGGCCACACUGGGACUGAGACACGGCCCAGACUCCUACGGGAGGCAGCAGUAGGGAAUCUUCCGCAAUGGACGAAAGUCUGACGGAGCAACGCCGCGUGAGCGAUGAAGGCCUUCGGGUCGUAAAGCUCUGUUGUUAGGGAAGAAUAAGUGCUAGUUGAAUAAGCUGGCACCUUGACGGUACCUAACCAGAAAGCCACGGCUAACUACGUGCCAGCAGCCGCCGUAAGAC